rnacentral:rRNA from 1 species
AUCGAACGCUGGCGGCAGGCCUAACACAUGCAAGUCGAGCGGAGAUGAGGUGCUUGCACCUUAUCUUAGCGGCGGACGGGUGAGUAAUGCUUAGGAAUCUGCCAUUUAGUGGGGGACAACAUUCCGAAAGGAAUGCUAAUACCGCAUACGUCCUACGGGAGACAGCAGGGGAUCUUCGGACCUUGCGCUAAAUGAUGAGCCUAAGUCGGAUUAGCUAGUUGGUGGGGUAAAGGCCUACCAAGGCGACGAUCUGUAGCGGGUCUGAGAGGAUGAUCCGCCACACUGGGACUGAGACACGGCCCAGACUCCUACGGGAGGCAGCAGUGGGGAAUAUUGGACAAUGGGGGGAACCCUGAUCCAGCCAUGCCGCGUGUGUGAAGAAGGCCUUUUGGUUGUAAAGCACUUUAAGCGAGGAGGAGGCUACCUGGAUUAAUACUCUGGGAUAGUGGACGUUACUCGCAGAAUAAGCACCGGCUAACUCUGUGCCAGCAGCCGCCGUAA